rnacentral:rRNA from 1 species
GAUGAACGCUGGCGGCGUGCCUAAUACAUGCAAGUCGAGCGAACGGACGAGAAGCUUGCUUCUCUGAUGUUAGCGGCGGACGGGUGAGUAACACGUGGAUAACCUACCUAUAAGACUGGGAUAACUUCGGGAAACCGGAGCUAAUACCGGAUAAUAUUUUGAACCGCAUGGUUCAAAAGUGAAAGACGGUCUUGCUGUCACUUAUAGAUGGAUCCGCGCUGCAUUAGCUAGUUGGUAAGGUAACGGCUUACCAAGGCAACGAUGCAUAGCCGACCUGAGAGGGUGAUCGGCCACACUGGAACUGAGACACGGUCCAGACUCCUACGGGAGGCAGCAGUAGGGAAUCUUCCGCAAUGGGCGAAAGCCUGACGGAGCAACGCCGCGUGAGUGGUGAAGGUCUUCGGAUCGUAAAACUCUGUUAUUAGGGAAGAACAUAUGUGUAAGUAACUGUGCACAUCUUGACGGUACCUAAUCAGAAAGCCACGGCUAACUACGUGCCAGCAGCCGCGGUAAUACGUAGGUGGCAAGCGUUAUCCGGAAUUAUUGGGCGUAAAGCGCGCGUAGGCGGUUUUUUAAGUCUGAUGUGAAAGCCCACGGCUCAACCGUGGAGGGUCAUUGGAAACUGGAAAACUUGAGUGCAGAAGAGGAAAGUGGAAUUCCAUGUGUAGCGGUGAAAUGCGCAGAGAUAUGGAGGAACACCAGUGGCGAAGGCGACUUUCUGGUCUGUAACUGACGCUGAUGUGCGAAAGCGUGGGGAUCAAACAGGAUUAGAUACCCUGGUAGUCCACGCCGUAAACGAUGAGUGCUAAGUGUUAGGGGGUUUCCGCCCCUUAGUGCUGCAGCUAACGCAUUAAGCACUCCGCCUGGGGAGUACGACCGCAAGGUUGAAACUCAAAGGAAUUGACGGGGACCCGCACAAGCGGUGGAGCAUGUGGUUUAAUUCGAAGCAACGCGAAGAACCUUACCAAAUCUUGACAUCCUUUGACAACUCUAGAGAUAGAGCCUUCCCCUUCGGGGGACAAAGUGACAGGUGGUGCAUGGUUGUCGUCAGCUCGUGUCGUGAGAUGUUGGGUUAAGUCCCGCAACGAGCGCAACCCUUAAGCUUAGUUGCCAUCAUUAAGUUGGGCACUCUAAGUUGACUGCCGGUGACAAACCGGAGGAGGGUGGGGAUGACGUCAAAUCAUCAUGCCCCUUAUGAUUUGGGCUACACACGUGCUACAAUGGACAAUACAAAGGGCAGCGAAACCGCGAGGUCAAGCAAAUCCCAUAAAGUUGUUCUCAGUUCGGAUUGUAGUCUGCAACUCGACUACAUGAAGCUGGAAUCGCUAGUAAUCGUAGAUCAGCAUGCUACGGUGAAUACGUUCCCGGGUCU